UCCUCUUCUCGGAUGGGGAGGGGGGCGGGGAGAAGGCUGUACCUCCAACUCCAGCCGCCCGCCUGGGCCUGGGAGGCGGGAAAUGGGGUGUCUUGCGCUUCACUGCAAGUUCAGGGUCACGGGGACUCUUGCGGGGAUCGGGAGCGGUUAGGCUUGGGCUGAUGGCUCUCUCUUUCCCAUCCCCCGUCCUUCCCUGUCUCCGCCUUUCCCUCUGGUUCCUCACGAGGACCCCCACGUCAGAGCCAACCUGGGGGAGUGGGGGCCUGAGGGAUGGACCGCCAAAGAUAGAGCCAAUCUCUCGGGGAGCUGCUGAAGAAGGCAGGCAGCUCAGGAAGGAUGCUCACAUCGGCAUCGCCAAGAGCACGUUUCCCUCGGAUCGCUGAAAUUUGAUUAAUGGUCGUAGGAGACAACGUUAAAGAGCUGGAGGGAAAACAGCUGUUCCUGGAUCACACCAGAAUGGAGAACCAAGCUCCUCCCUCUAACAGAAUGCCUUUGCUUUCUUUGCCUGGAUUGGGAGGAUGAUUUUAGCCCUGGAAGGGAAAAACAAGUCUUUGCUCAUGGCCUUGAGUACAGUUUUAAUCCUCUGAAUAUGACUUUGAAGUUUAAUCUCAUUGAAUGGCCUGUACCUCACGAGGAGGAUGGAAGAAUAACUUACUGGGAAGUAUUACUGAUGUUCACAUUUUGUUAAUAAUUGCUAUAUACAUGUUUGGUUUUCAUUUUGAUAAAUGAAAUAUACAUAUUUUGCUGCUCUUCAAUACUAUUGUUUUAUCUGGGUUUAAAAUAGUAAUUUAGCUAUAGAUUAACAUUCUAUGAA